AUGCUGGCCAGCGCUGGGCUCUGGGCGGUGCUGGGCUUCAGGGAAGCGCAGGGACACCACUCUGUAGGUGAGAAAGUGCAGUCUGAGAUUCCAGGGCUUGUUCGAGGGUCCCCAGACCUGCGAUGAGGCCAGGAGCCCUGGGGUUCCCAGGCGCCACUUAAAAAAAAUUUAAAUUAUGUAAAGUGGCUGGCAUCAUGUGUCUACAAGACCUAAGUGGCUAAACAGGACCAAGGAUGGAGAAGCUUGGGGAAACCACAGCCAAGGAUGGCCAAAGUCAAGAGCAGGUUGGCCCAAGACUUACUAUGUUGCCGAGAUUGGUCUAGAACUUGCGAUUAUCCUCUUGGUUCAGCUUCCAAGGUUCCUCGAUUACAGGCGUGAGUCACUACACCUGGCUCCUUCUUGACAGCCUUCUCUUCACCCAGAUUUCUUUCCAAUUCAGUUCUCAGCCAGGCCUUACAACACAGGCCUGAAGUCUCAAGUGCUUGGAAGGCUGAGGGAGAAAGAGAGCAAGUUCAAGUCCCACUUAUGCUUUGGAGUGGGACAAACUAGGCAGCAUGGCAAAACCUUGUCUCAAAGUAAAGUUUUUUAAAAAAGAAGCUAAGAGCACAGUUCAGUGGUAUAGCGCUUAAUUAGGAUGGGAAAAAUAAAAAGUCAUCUGAUUUGCCCACCCAAAUCUUGUCUUUCAGAGCAUUUAGCUCAGUGGAUGCUGAGUAAGAAAGCCAUGUUUAGGGUCUCUUGAAGAAAGGCCAACGCCUGGCUUGUCUCUGGAGAUCAGAAGGAUAAUUGGACUGGUGUGUAGAUGGAGAGAAUUAGUCACAUGAGCUGUGAGCACUGGCCUAGGAAGAGGAGAGGGUCAGCAUCCUACAAAGGAGAAAAGAAAAUCAAACGUGGUGUGCUUGCCAAUGCUGGCUUAAAUUUCAGAAACACAAAGUGAACAGUUGACAUUUUACCCUUCCUGGAUCCUGGGAUGCUUUUCCAGUGUAGUAAAACAUUAGUUUUUCUGUUGACUGACCAUGUACCAGGUUUUAACAGACAGAGUAGGUGGCAGAAACCCAGAAGAGGAGGUAGACAAAGUUCAUGAAGUGUUCAUGAAGUUCAGGAGGUAUUAUCUGAGGCUUACAUCUCCUAUCUUCUUGCCCUGGUGCAGGAUCAAGAGAAUGAUACCUGUGAUCAGGCCAGGGCACGGGCACAUGGAAUAGAACACCUUCAAUGUGACUCCUGAAGGGCAAGGGUCACAGAGACUCAUUGUCUCUACCUUGGGAAUGUUUGGACUGUGAAUAGAUAGAUAAACUGGACAGCUGUGAGAUUCUGGUAGACGUUUUGUCAACAUGUAUGGCAUCCAUUGAUUUAAUGUUUUGAAUGAUCACUGAUGAAGAGGAUCUUGACAGAUUUCAUAUUUGUAAUAGAGAAAUAAAUUUGGGUAGGGUCUACCCCCAAAUGGGAUA